UCCAAAGAAACAUAGUGACAAAAUUUAUUCAAUUAAUUAAAAUUAACCCACAAUACAAAAUUCAAAGAACAAUAAAGAAAGAGACGAGACUCUAAAACCACAAUCCCUAAGCUGAUCUUUAAACGCUAACCGAAGAUUACUAGGUGACAAAGANNNNNNNNNNNNNNNNNNNNNNCUUCAAGCCUCGCCGCUUCUCAACGCGGAAAGUGUCUCCAUCGACUAGGGUGGGAGGAGCCCGUUCAUGUAUCAUUGUAAGGGUUACCAACUUGAAAUAACAUAUAACCAAAUAUGCAAAUACCAAAUAUACAAUACAUGGAAAACAAUUAAACACUUAGCAUUUUAUUCUUAACCAGCACAAUAUAAAAAUGCACAAAUAGUCUAUCGAUGCAGACUGUAUAUAAGUGUGACACCAAUCACUGAUCGUCACAUGCAUGAAUUCCGGAAUUUAACCUCUCCGUAGAGAGUCAUAGGCUUAUAGUGGAUACCAAUCACUGAUCUUCACACACCUACUAAAAUCAAUAAAAUCCCAAAGGAUUAGAGUAGACACCAAUCACUGAUCGUCGCACCAUGUGGCCCAUCACGGUCACCACGUAUUGAACUCAAUAAAAAUCCCGCAGGAUUAAGGUGGACACCAAUCACUGAUCGUCGCACCCUCGUGGCCCAUUACGGUCACCACGUACUAUGAGAUGCAUGAGCAUACAAUUCCCCAUAUAUGCUAA
rnacentral:lncRNA from 1 species